ACUCCUACGGGAGGCAGCAGUAGGGAAUCUUCCACAAUGGGCGCAAGCCUGAUGGAGCAACACCGCGUGAGUGAAGAAGGGUUUCGGCUCGUAAAGCUCUGUUGUUAAAGAAGAACACGUAUGAGAGUAACUGUUCAUACGUUGACGGUAUUUAACCAGAAAGUCACGGCUAACUACGUGCCGGCAGCCGCGGUAAUACGUAGGUGGCAAGCGUUAUCCGGAUUUAUUGGGCGUAAAGAGAGUGCAGGCGGUUUCUAAGUCUGAUGUGAAAGCCUUCGGCUUAACCGGAGAAGUGCAUCGGAAACUGGAUAACUUGAGUGCAGAAGAGGGUAGUGGAACUCCAUGUGUAGCGGUGGAAUGCGUAGAUAUAUGGAAGAACACCAGUGGCGAAGGCGGCUACCUGGUCUGCAACUGACGCUGAGACUCGAAAGCAUGGGUAGCGAACAGGAUUAGAUACCCCUGGUAGGAUAGCG
rnacentral:rRNA from 1 species